rnacentral:rRNA from 1 species
UGGGGAAUUUUGGACAAUGGGCGCAAGCCUGAUCCAGCCAUGCCGCGUGCGGGAAGAAGGCCUUCGGGUUGUAAACCGCUUUUGUCAGGGAAGAAAUCUUCUGAGUUAAUACCUCGGGAGGAUGACGGUACCUGAAGAAUAAGCACCGGCUAACUACGUGCCAGCAGCCGCGGUAAUACGUAGGGUGCAAGCGUUAAUCGGAAUACUGGGCGUAAAGCGUGCGCAGGCGGUUUUGUAAGACAGAGGUGAAAUCCCCGGGCUCAACCUGGGAACUGCCUUUGUGACUGCAAGGCUUGAGUGCGGCAGAGGGGGAUGGAAUUCCGCGUGUAGCAGUGAAAUGCGUAGAUAUGCGGAGGAACACCGAUGGCGAAGGCAAUCCCCUGGGCCUGCACUGACGCUCAUGCACGAAAGCGUGGGGAGCAAACAGGAUUAGAUACCCUGGUAGUCCACGCCCUAAACGAUGUCAACUGGUUGUUGGGAAGGUUCCUUCUCAGUAACGUAGCUAACGCGUGAAGUUGACCGCCUGGGGAGUACGGCCGCAAGGUUGAAACUUAAAUGAAUUGACGGGGUCAUAGC